GAUGAACGCUGGCGGCGUGCUUAACACAUGCAAGUCGAACGGUGAACGAGGGAGCUUGCUCCCUCCGGAUCAGUGGCGAACGGGUGAGUAACACGUGAGCAAUCUGCCCCGAACUCUGGGAUAAGCGCUGGAAACGGCGUCUAAUACUGGAUACGAACCACGAAGGCAUCUUCAGUGGUUGGAAAGAUUUAUUGGUUGGGGAUGGGCUCGCGGCCUAUCAGCUUGUUGGUGAGGUAAUGGCUCACCAAGGCGUCGACGGGUAGCCGGCCUGAGAGGGUGACCGGCCACACUGGGACUGAGACACGGCCCAGACUCCUACGGGAGGCAGCAGUGGGGAAUAUUGCACAAUGGGCGCAAGCCUGAUGCAGCAACGCCGCGUGAGGGAUGACGGCCUUCGGGUUGUAAACCUCUUUUAGCAGGGAAGAAGCGAAAGUGACGGUACCUGCAGAAGAAGCACCGGCUAACUACGUGCCAGCCGCCGCCGUAAGAC
rnacentral:rRNA from 1 species